rnacentral:lncRNA from 1 species
UCGGAAAAAUAGACCUAACAUCACAGAACAACGCAAACCAGAGUUGCAGGACUGCGAUUUGCGCAUGAGGCGCAAAAGACAGCAUCCACCUGCAGAAUUUUGCAGGUUUUGACCUGCUCACCGCGCAGACCAUAAGUUGAGCUACGUAUAUCGGAUUUCAACGCGUAAACAUGCGUUGGAAAGCUAAGGGAAAGAGCUAUAACUUUUAUGUUGAAGUCAAAAACCAGUUCAGAACACAAAGGGGUCAAACUUUCAUGUUUUUUCUGCAGACUUUAUCAAAAACAGUUUUUCUUAAACUAUAAAAAUUCAAUCUUUGAUUUUCCAAAAACCCAAUUUGAAUCCCAUUAGUCCUAAGACUUCACUAAUCAACACUCAU